CAGCGCCGAGGAGGAGGCGGCGCCGCCACCGCCGCCUUCCCCCGCCCCCUGCCCGGGGCCCUGGCGGCGAGCACAACAAAGCCCGGGACAGCGCGUACCGCGGCGGCCGGCCGCCUCCCUUCCUCCGGGACUGGGCCUGAUCCAAUGGCAACUAUUCCAGAGAAUUCCAGGCCUUUCAACACACCCUCCACUACGGGCACUCCAAAGCAGCAAGAGGAUUUAAGGAAGGGUAUCUGUAUCUUAAUGAACAAUCCAGCAAUUACAGUAGAGGCUGGAGGGGCAACUUUCAAAAGUGCCCUACAUUAAUGAAAGACAAUCCUGGAAUCAACACAACUACACUGCAUACCCUACAUUAAAUGAGAACGCUGUGUAGCUAAAAAUGGGCAAGGUACUCCCACUUAAAAUUAUGAGUUUGAGAUGCCAUUGUAAAAUUUCCAUGAAGAUUGAGAUCGAUAGGAAACUACUGGCUUUGUAAGCUGACUGCUAAUUAUAUUUGAUAUUAUUUCUGAUGCUCACCCAGCUUAUCUGAUAGUUUCAUUACAUAGGUCCCAUUCUGCUAAGGCAUUUGGCACUAGAAUACAAAUUAAAACCUAAUAAUCAAUAUUAAAAAGCCAAACAAAAAUUAUAUCCUCAGUACUUCUCACAUACUUUCCUGCUAAUUUUGUAUUGCUUUGUACACCCAUACAAGUUGAGGUCUCAAUUAUCUGGCUUAGUGCAAGAGACUCCAGCAUAUCUUUUCUGCUUCAAUAACUAUCUCCAGUGCAAUAGUUGAUUUGAUUAGAAGACUACAUUCUUGCCUUUAAGGUGAAUGUUGUGGCUUUUUAUUUUUAAUUUGGUCCAUUUAAUAAACUAUUGUUUUUCCAUAGGGUUUCCUUCAGUACAACUCUAUCAUAGCACUGGGUUGUAUUGGACCUAAAGAAACCACCCAGUUUUGGAGUCCCAUACUAUUCUUCCAGCUGAGAAGGACAGAUGGCAGCACUCCCAGCCCAGGGUACGAGAAAAUGGGAUCAGAAAUUGAAUGUAGCAGGACUUCCACUGGGCUAUCCAUUAUGUUAAACUAGUCUAAUGUUUUUAAUAUUUCAUUUCAUUUUGUUUAUUUUUAAAAGUACUAUUGUAAGACUAUAUAGGGCAGAGAGGGAAGCUCAUAUUGACGUAAUACCAGUGUAUGACACCUACCUUUAAAAUACAACCUUCAAUUGAUAACAUGCUGUACAGCACUACACAGAAACUAUAUAAAUGUUUAUUAGCAGAUAGAGCUGUCAUAUCUCUUCAGGGCAAAGAUUGUGUCUUAUAGGUUUGGACAAUGCCUUGGACAUUGUGCCACAAUUCAAUCAAUUCAAUGAACAAUCUGUUUAAAUCCACAUAGGACCUUGCUAUCUGCUGGAUUUGAUUUCAGAAUCAAGUGAUCAUUAAAAAACAAACAAAA